CCUACGGGUGGCAGCAGUGAGGAAUAUUGGUCAAUGGGCGCGAGCCUGAACCAGCCAAGUAGCGUGAAGGAUGACUGCCCUACGGGUUGUAAACUUCUUUUAUAAAGGAAUAAGUGAGGCAAGUGUGCCUUUUUGUAUGUUCUUUAUGAAUAAGGAACGGCUAACUUCGUUGCAGAAGCCGCCGUAAUUAGGAGGAUACGAGCGGUAUCCGGAUUUGUUGGGUUUUAAGGGAGCGGAGGUGGAUUGUUAAGUCAGUUGUGAAAGUUUGCGGCUCAACCGUAAAAUUGCAGGUGAAACUGGCAGUCUUGAGUUCAGUAGAGGUGGGCGGAAUUCGUGGUGUAGCGGUGAAAUGCUUAGAUAUCACGAAGAACUCCGAUUGCGAAGGCAGCUCACUGGACUGCAACUGACACUGAUGCUCGAAAGUGUGGGUAUCAAACAGGAUUAGAUACCCGAGUAGUC
rnacentral:rRNA from 1 species